AGGCCUUUUUACCUCUAGGUUCUAAUAUUUGAGUACUUGAACUUUUGUUUUGACUGAAUUAAGAGAAAAUUUGCAUGUGCCUUAAUUACUUUGGAUACCCUUAAAUACUUCUUUUGUGGGGAUACAUUAUACAAAUAUGUUAUACCUGUUUAAAUACCUGCUGAUUUAACCCAUUGACUGUGGCUGCUCUAAGUGCAUGUAGAAUUUUUGCAAGCCGUACACCAUAUGUGGUACACUCGCCUUCAACUGCCGGAGGCAGAUCAUACCCUAUAGGGUGUAUCAGCAAUCGAUGGGUUAACACAAGUGGACGGUUAAGAUAGCUGUGGUGUGCAUUGUCUACACUAGUGGUUCUCAAACUUUUUUUUUUCAGACCACAAUGGAAUCUAUACACUGUACUGCCCUUUCUUUUAUUAUCCAAUCUUUCCACGGACCGCCUGAAGGAAGCUUGUGGACCACAGAUUGAGACCCACUGGUCUAGACUUUAUAACCGAGGACCAGAUUACUCUCACCCAUCAAAAAGGAUGUGCCCCAUCUGUGGGCGAAUAUUUUCCUCCCAGAGCAAUAAGAUCAGACACAUGAGGUUGCAUUCUGUGGCUGAUUGGAAACAUUGUUGUAAAAUGUGUGAGUUCUCUUCAACUCGAAGAGAUGCUCUUCGGCAUCACAUGCGGGUUCGCCAUGGAUACAGUGCCGACCUUCAUUGAAUAACAUCAAAAAGAUAACUUUCCUAAGAAAAUUGUUAUAGUCUAAGCUUAUAUGUGCCUAGGUUGUAAUAUUGUGGAUAAAGAAAGCAAGUUUCGAUAAAAUGUAAAAAUUAAAUCAGAUAAAAUUUUAGAACACCUU